rnacentral:rRNA from 1 species
AUUCAACGCUGGCGGCAUGCCUUACACAUGCAAGUCGAACGGUAACGGGCCUUCGGGUGCCGACGAGUGGCGAACGGGUGAGUAAUACAUCGGAACGUGCCCGAUCGUGGGGGAUAACGAGGCGAAAGCUUUGCUAAUACCGCAUACGAUCUACGGAUGAAAGCAGGGGACCGCAAGGCCUUGCGCGGACGGAGCGGCCGAUGGCAGAUUAGGUAGUUGGUGGGAUAAAAGCUUACCAAGCCGACGAUCUGUAGCUGGUCUGAGAGGAUGAUCAGCCACACUGGGACUGAGACACGGCCCAGACUCCUACGGGAGGCAGCAGUGGGGAAUUUUGGACAAUGGGCGCAAGCCUGAUCCAGCCAUGCCGCGUGCAGGAUGAAGGCCUUCGGGUUGUAAAAUGCUUUUGUACGGAACGAAAAGCCUUCUUUUAAUACAGGAGGGUCAUGACGGUACCGUAAGAAUAAGCACCGGCUAACUACGUG